UUGAGGGCCUACUAUGCACAAGAGGAAGAAAUGCAUCUAAAAUCCUACAGGCUGUAGCAGCACUCACCUGGUAUGUUGAGCAUGAACCUUACAGUUCAACGAUGGAGUGAGAUCUAUCUACUCCUGGCCAUUACAACGAAGCACAGUUGGAGCACCUGUCCAAAUUAGGUUUUUACAAACGGCAAAGGGGAUGGUUUGGUAACCCAGUACACAACUGGAAUGCCAAGGACAUGGAUAUUAUUUUUGCCUGUAGUGUUUUCAAGUUAAUUUUGCUCCCAAGAAAGGAGGGCCAACCAAGUUUGACAUAAAAUAUGGUCUUUGGAAGAAAUGCUUGGUUCUCUCUAGACCUUUCCUGUUCUGGGAGAUUGUCUCAGGUACAGCUGAGGCUUCAGACAAGUUCCUUGCCACUGUACACACAGUGUGCAUCAUCUACAAACUCAGUGAGAAAAGAAACAGGAGUUUAUUUUUUUUAAUUAUGCAAAUCUGUGUCUUUGCACAUGCCCACAAAGUUCAAAAUAGUCCCCUAGAGUUAGAGUUAUCAGCAGUUUUGAGCUGCCCAGUACAGGUCCCAGGAUUCAUACGUAGAUCCUCUGCAAGAGCAGUGUACACUCUAAAGUCCUGAACCAUAUCUUUAACCAUGAUAUUUUUUUCUCAAUUCAUCUUCUAAACUAUAUUGAUCACCUGACUGACUGCCAGGAACAUGUUUUACCUGAUCAUCAGAAACAUACUUUUUUUCCCUCUCUGAUUUUCCCACGAUGGUGUUAAACUUGACUGUUGUUGUUGAAGGGACUGCCACCCUGGAGUGCUGUGUGCAUGAAGGUCACAAAGCCCCUCAGAUGAGAGACUGCCUAAAGGAUGAAAUGAGUUCUUGGGUUCAGUGUCGUUUGUAAGCCCUCUCUGGGGUCUUCACUUUGUAAGACGCUGUCUAGCAAGAUUCUAAGACCCUGGGAUCUUCGUUUCGCCCCCUGAGGAGUAUUUCAUCCGCUUAGAUGCAGAAGGAUUGUCCUGGUUGGCUUUAACCUUCAACUUGAUGAAGCCUAGAGUCCCCUGGGGGGAGCAUCCUGAUUAUUAAUGAGCUUAGGAGGGCCCAGCCCACUGUGGGAGGCAGCAUUUCCUUAGCAGGGAGUUUUGCACUGCAGGAGAAAGCAAGCUGAGUAUAAACAGGCCUGUGCGCCCACAAGCAAAGCCCUCUGUGGUGUCCUCUGUUUGCACUCCCAUGGCCUUGUCCAGAGUGAGUUCCUUGGUCAGAGGAGCUCACUUAUACUACAUAGAAUAACAAACAGGCCUGCUUCAGGGUCCUGCCUGAGCUCCCAUCCUGACUUCCCUCUCCAAUGAACUGUCAUCUAUAAGCUUAAGUGAGUCCUUGCUUCCCCUAAAUUGCUUUUGUUCCUGGUAUUUGUUAACUGCAACAGAGAUGAAACCAGGACAGUGAAAGCCUUUGCUAGUCUUCCCUGCAGGGGAGCAUCCUUGGUAGGGAUGUUUCACUUGAUGCAAAGACUUCUUCCUGGAUGAAGGCUGAUGGAAUCCACAAGAAAUCUAACAAGCAUAAGAGGCCCCUCUCUCAGGCUAUAGAAGCAGCAAACAGUUGCCGGGGAAGAGUGAACUCUUCACUGAGAUAUGACACCCAAAGGCCAAGCAGGGAGCUGCAGUCAUGCAUCCCUGUGAGCUAUCAGCAAUGGUGACAUCAACCUCUUUGGUGACAUAACUACCAGAGAAGUUGCUUCUGCUCCUGUAACUAACCCCUCACCUGGGGUUCUGUAACUAACCCCGGUCAACUGGUUGGUUUUCCAAAUUGGAUUUGAUGAAGUCAUUCUGUGAUCUGUCAUCCGAGGCUCAACCUGGCUGUUAAAUGCUUUCCCAGGGAAAGAGGGAUGGAGAAACAACAGAGACUAGCUUCCAACAGAAGCCAUGAGGGUGAUAUACAAGAUGCAAUAGCAGCUCAGCCUGCAGCAGGCUAGAUGUGGGGGCCACAGAGCCAUUAGGUGGGCCAGGCCGAGUGUGGAACCCAGCAGGGGUGGGAGGGGGGCUGCAAAUGGUUCUAUUUUCUCUUAAAAUCAAAGGAAAUCAUGAAUAUAGCAAUGAACUUAGCCUGUAUAUUUGUCUUUCAUCAUCAUGUUCACUAAGAAAAUAUGAUCAGCUGAUUUUUAUGAAGGAAGCAACCCAUGCAAACAAACUCCCGAAGGCCGAUGAAAGUCAAGUGGCCAAGGACUAGGCGGCUGCGGUAUUUAGGAUUUGACACAACACAAAAUCCAUUCCGGCUUCUGAAGUCCAUGUACUGACCCAAACACAGGAAUCUAACAUCCCAAUGUUUAGGCAUCGAAGGAAAAUGAUAAACAUCAUUUACCUUUAGAAG
rnacentral:lncRNA from 1 species